ACUAUGUACACUAGGUGUUGGGGUAGAACUCAGUGCUGAAAGCAAACGCAAUAAGUGUACCGCCUGGGGAGUAUGCCCGCAAGGGUGAAACUCAAAGGAAUUGACGGGGGCCCACACAAGCGGUGGAGCAUGUGGUUUAAUUCGAUGAUACGCGAGGAACCUUACCUGGGUUUGACAUUGAGAGGAAUACUAUAGAGAUAUGGUAGCGUAGCAAUACGUCUCUUAACAGGUGUUGCAUGGCUGUCGUCAG
rnacentral:rRNA from 1 species